CCCCGCAGGAGCAGGCCCCGGGCCGGAGCUGCAGCCCGUGGAGAGGAGCCCACGCAGGAGCAGGGGGUCUGGGGGGGGAGCUGUCGCCUGUGGGGGGCCCGUGCUGGAGCAGUUUGCUUCUGAUGGAUGAACCCUGUGGUACGGAGCCAUGGUGGAUCAGUUCUUGAAGAGCUGCUGCCUGUGAGAAGCCCAUGCAGGAUCAGUUUGGGAAGGACGGCAUCCCGUGGGAGGGACCGCAUGUGGAGCAGGGGCAGAGAGUGACCAUGAAGGAGCGGUGGAGAUGAAGUGUUAGGAACUGACCACAGCCCCCAUUCCCAAUUUCUCUGUGCCACUUGGGGGGGAAGGAUGUAGAAGAGAGUGGAUGGGGGGAAGGUGUUUUUAGUUUCUUUAGAAAUUUGUUAAUAAGUUGACAAUUGAGAGCUAUAAUAGCAUGCACCUGUGAAAAACAGCUUGAUCAAGGAGGUAGGCAAAUGCGUACCAUAAUAAUUCAGAUAACUCACUACCAUUUGACUUUGAAACAGGAGGAGAAAACAAGCUCACAUGUGGAAAUGAGAUGCGAGGGAUUUUUGAAAAAGGUUUUAUUCAAUCAUAAUACAGCUGUGGAAAACAGGAAGUGAGAUGUCUAGUAGAAGGAGGCAGAAGUACAAAAUGCCUUGAUGGGAUCUAAACUAGCUGAUCCUUUGUAAGGAAAGUCAUAGAUGUGUAAUACAUCACCUCCCAAACACUAUGUGACAGCUGAUGGCUCAAUAAGAGUGCUUUUUCCAGCUGGCACUGGCACAACUCCCCAGAAACAGGCCGUGUCAGCAUUGCUUCCUGAGAGCUACCCUUGGCCAGCUCUGCCUGCAAACAGUUAUUCACUGGAAAGGAUAGUUUUCUACGCAGAACUAUGA
rnacentral:lncRNA from 1 species